AUUGAACGCUGGCGGCAGGCCUAACACAUGCAAGUCGAACGGCAGCACAGAAGAGCUUGCUCUUUGGGUGGCGAGUGGCGGACGGGUGAGUAAUGUCUGGGAAACUGCCCGAUGGAGGGGGAUAACUACUGGAAACGGUAGCUAAUACCGCAUAACGUCGCAAGACCAAAGUGGGGGACCUUCGGGCCUCACACCAUCGGAUGUGCCCAGAUGGGAUUAGCUAGUAGGUGGGGUAAUGGCUCACCUAGGCGACGAUCCCUAGCUGGUCUGAGAGGAUGAACAGCGACACUGGAACUGAGACACGGUCCAGACUCCUACGGGAGGCAGCAGUGGAGAAUAUUGCACAAUGGGCGCAAGCCUGAUGCAGCCAUGCCGCGUGUAUGAAGAAGGCCUUCGGGUUGUAAAGUACUUUCAGCGGGGAGGAAGGCGGUGAGGUUAAUAACCUUGCCGAUUGACGUUACCCGCAGAAGAAGCACCGGCUAACUCCGUGCCAGCAGCCGCCGCCG
rnacentral:rRNA from 1 species